GCACAGUACUACAGCAGCACAGCAAGCUUCCAAAGCUUGGGGACAACACACAAAGGCUCACCCACCCACGCAAGCAACGCAAGCGCAGGCAGCAGGUGUCAUGUCACGGCGACGGCGGCCAGUCGAAGCCGGCGAAGGUCUCGCCGAAGCCACCGCCGUAGAACCUGACCUCCAGGUUCUCCAGGCCCUGGCCGUCGUCGUCCCAGACGGCCUCGUCGUCGUCGUCGUCGCUGCCGGCGGCGUAGUCGUAGUCGUCGUCGACGUCGUCCAUGAGCUCCCACGAGUAGAUGGAGGAGUCGUCCGAGUAGUCGUCGGAGCACUCCUCCCAGUAGCUGUUCUCGUAGCAGUCGUCGACGCGGGGUCCCAGGACGCGCAGCCCCGGGUGGCGGUCGCGCGGCAGGAGCUUGUCGUCCACCGCCCAGCAGCCGCGCAGGUCCAGGAACCUGAGCUCGCGGCACCGCCCCAGGAUCUCCGCCACCGCCUCCGUCGCCACCAGCAUGUACCCCAUCUCCAGGUGCCGCAGCCUGGGCAUGCUGCACGCGAUGGCGUGCGCCUCGUCGUGCUGGCACGCCCUGUCCGCCAGGUCGAUCGGGUGCAUCACCCGCCGCAGCCCCGCCAGGGACUUGCAGUGCUUGCCGAACGCCUCCAGGCCGCGGGCCCCCAUCUUCGUGCAGCUGCUGAUGUCGAGGAAAGUGACGUUCGGCAGCCGCGGCGCCACGGAUUCCACCAUGGAGUCGCUGAUCUCGCUCCUGGGGAUCUCCAAGGUCCGGAGAGCUCGUGCGCUAGCCAGUUUUCAGCAAAAGAGGAAGCAGGAUCAAGCCGGUGUGUAAUUGUGACCGCCUGAUCACUGUAUGCAUGUGCGC
rnacentral:misc_RNA from 1 species